rnacentral:lncRNA from 1 species
UGGACCAUAGCAGUUUGUGGUCUCCAUCAUUGAAAGUAAAAUCCAUAAGCCAUUCCAUAUAGAUAUCUUCUCAACAUAUCCAUUUAGAAAGGCUAUCUACAUAUCCAUUUCUCGGGUCGAUGUCCAAUAUCGCCUUGUUAUAGAUUUUGAGAUCAUCUCUAUCUCCUAUCUCCUAUGAGAAAUAUUUUCUCAACAUCCUCUGUAAGUAUACCAAGUACCUUUCAUAAGGAUGGG